rnacentral:rRNA from 1 species
UCGGAUUGUAGUCUGCAACCGACUACAUGAAGCUGGAAUCGCUAGUAAUCGCGAAUCAGAAUGUCGCGGUGAAUACGUUCCCGGGUCUUGUACACACCGCCCGUCACACCAUGGGAGUCGGAAAUGCCCGAAGUCAGUGACCCAACCGUAAGGAGGGAGCUGCCGAAGGUGGAGCCGGUAACUGGGGUGAAGUCGUAACAAGGUAUC